AUAUUUAUAGUCAUGCUGCUGACUAUUAGCUUUUAGGUUUUGUAACUCUUUUCUCAUACUGUCCACCUUUGUAGAAAGUGUAGUAAUGGCUUUGAGUAUUUCUUCUAUUGUAUCUGGUUCAGUUUGAGUUCCUUUUUCUUGAUAGGUAGUCUGUGCUACUCUGCAAAAGUUGGAGAUUUUGCUACGAACUGGACAUGAGAAAAAAACGCCCGAAUAAGCCUUUG
rnacentral:misc_RNA from 1 species